rnacentral:lncRNA from 1 species
UUACACAUAUACGCACAUACACGCACAUACAUAUAUACGGAGAGGAAGGGAGGGCGGGAAGAGGCAAAAGGAGGAAAGCGAGAUGGGUUUCUUUGGGAAUGGGAUGAGAACCAGGGUUGCUGGAACACCCCCACCCGGCUUAUCGGCAUUGCUCCCCCCACUGCCAUCCCCAUCACCUACAACCCGGGGAUUUCCGUAAUACGUUCAGCUGGAAGCUUCCAAAUACCCACACCCCCGCCGUCCGGAACGCACGCUUCCCCAGCGC